CGCGGUGAUGGCGCGCUAGGGCGCAGAGUGGUGUAUACAUGGAUGUGCGUUCGUUGUUGUAAGUGACAAAGGUGUGUGCGUGUGUGUGUGUGUCUAUGUUGGAGCUGCCUGAGAGGAGAGGCCAUUUUGUACAGCGAGGCAGGCAGGCAAGGCGUCUGUACAUGUCUGUGUAUUUUCACGUCAGUUUAUUAACAGGAAGCGUGCCAUUGUGCGUAUGAGAGUGAACAUUUCAGUGUUGGAGGGGCGCGAUCUAGCUGAGCAGUAGUAACAACACCCAAACCGAUGUCUUCACUUUCCUGAGCGUUCACUGUCCUUUCUACACUGUUUCCUCUGUGCAAUGGAUGGGGAUCUGUUCUGCCUCUUUCUUCUGCUGUCCUGUGCGGCCGUACUACCAUGAGCACUUCUACUCCAUCCACAGGUACGUCUGCUCUCUCACCAUCCUCAUAAACAUGCCUCUGACCUCUACCCUGCAUCUGUGAACAUGUACUGUAGG
rnacentral:lncRNA from 1 species